rnacentral:sRNA from 1 species
AGGGCCACCGGGUCGACUGCCCGAGAUGCCAGCAGGUAGUCCCGGAUGACAUGGCCGUGGCGGUCCUC